AUGUUUAUUCCCAAUCUAUUGCCUCUAGUUAAAAUUCCAAGUCUUCUAUUUCUGUUGAAGGAAAAAUGGAAGAAACAUAGGAUUCCUCUCUCACUCCUAUGUCUAUGAAGCCAUUUGAGAAGAAUUUGAGACAAAAGUUGUUAUAGCUCACUCCCGAUUCUUUAAAGCACAUGUUGGUACCCAAGUGCCUCCUAGAGCAAAUCACUAAUCUAUACCGGGGCUUCUUUGAUUCAGAUAAGGCCCCUAGACUCUGGUCAUCUGUUUCAUGAGUCCAGAGGGACAAUCACUUGGGAAGGCAUUUUUCUUGUAUCUGGAUGCAAACAGAUUACACACCCUGAUGCCAGCAUCUUCUAGGACUGGUCAGUAGCACAAUUUCCUUUUUUUAUUCCAAGGAAGUGGAUCCAGAUCUGACUCCUUGAAGAUUUGAAAUGCCUCUAAUUAGCACCUAGGCUCCCACAAGCAUACUCUCAUGGAGCAAUUUUUUUCAAAGAGAUGACUUCCUGGAAAAGAAACUUUCUCCUUUGUUUAGUUGCUGCAUGACCAACCACCAUCUGCAAAGGGUUUGAUGCUAUUGUUUUAGAAACUGUCAGAAGACUGGUGUCCAUUUUUAUUAUUUUCUUACACUGGAUUGGCAUGACAAAUUUUUAUACAGAACCUGUGACACCUCAUUUCUCAUUUUUGUUUCGCUGUGGCUCAGCAACUGGACGAGAUCAUACAUUUCUAGAAUCCUACAAUUUGUAAGUUUUAAAGAUUUUGUUGAAUUGCUUCACUGAGACAAACAGGAAGAGACAUGUCUGCAAAAGAGCUUUUCUAUGGUAAUUUAAUACCUACCACAGGAGAAAAAACCUUGCUGUAAAAUCAUUUCAAAUAUAUAGAAUCAAACUUA